UUAAGUGACUAAGCGUACACGGUGGAUGCCUGGGCAGUCAGAGGCGAUGAAGGACGUACUAACUUGCGAUAAGCGCAGAUAAGGCAGUAAGAGCCGUUUGAGUCUGCGAUUUCCGAAUGGGGAAACCCAACUGCAUAAGCAGUUACUGUUAACUGAAUACAUAGGUUAACAGAGCAAACCGGGGGAACUGAAACAUCUAAGUACCCCGAGGAGAAGAAAUCAACCGAGAUUCCGGUAGUAGCGGCGAGCGAACCUGGAUUAGCCCUUAAGCACUCGGUGAAGUAGGUGAACAAGCUGGAAAGCUUGGCGAUACAGGGUGAUAGCCCCGUAACCGACGCUUCAUCGAGCGUGAAAUCGAGUAGGGCGGGACACGUGAUAUCCUGUCUGAAUAUGGGGGGACCAUCCUCCAAGGCUAAAUACUCCUGACUGACCGAUAGUGAACCAGUACCGUGAGGGAAAGGCGAAAAGAACCCCUGUGAGGGGAGUGAAAUAGAACCUGAAACCGUGUACGUACAAGCAGUAGGAGCACCUUCGUGGUGUGACUGCGUACCUUUUGUAUAAUGGGUCAGCGACUUAUAUUCAGUGGCAAGGUUAACCGUAUAGGGGAGCCGUAGCGAAAGCGAGUCUUAACUGGGCGCUCAGUCUCUGGAUAUAGACCCGAAACCGGGUGAUCUAGCCAUGGGCAGGUUGAAGGUUGAGUAACAUCAACUGGAGGACCGAACCGACUAAUGUUGAAAAAUUAGCGGAUGACUUGUGGCUAGGGGUGAAAGGCCAAUCAAACUCGGAGAUAGCUGGUUCUCCCCGAAAGCUAUUUAGGUAGCGCCUCGGACGAAUACUACUGGGGGUAGAGCACUGUUAAGGCUAGGGGGUCAUCCCGACUUACCAACCCUUUGCAAACUCCGAAUACCAGUAAGUACUAUCCGGGAGACACACGGCGGGUGCUAACGUCCGUCGUGGAGAGGGAAACAACCCAGACCGCCAGCUAAGGUCCCAAAGUAUUGCUAAGUGGGAAACGAUGUGGGAAGGCUCAGACAGCUAGGAUGUUGGCUUAGAAGCAGCCAUCAUUUAAAGAAAGCGUAAUAGCUCACUAGUCGAGUCGGCCUGCGCGGAAGAUGUAACGGGGCUAAGCAAUACACCGAAGCUGCGGCAAUGUCUUUUAGACAUUGGGUAGGGGAGCGCUCUGUAAGCCGUUGAAGGUGAAUCGUAAGGUUUGCUGGAGGUAUCAGAAGUGCGAAUGCUGACAUGAGUAACGACAAAGGGGGUGAAAAACCUCCUCGCCGGAAGACCAAGGGUUCCUGUCCAACGUUAAUCGGGGCAGGGUGAGUCGACCCCUAAGGUGAGGCCGAAAGGCGUAAUCGAUGGGAAACGGGUUAAUAUUCCCGUACUUCUGACUAUUGCGAUGGGGGGACGGAGAAGGCUAGGUGGGCCAGGCGACGGUUGUCCUGGUUCAAGUGCGUAGGCUUGAGAGUUAGGUAAAUCCGGCUCUCUCUAAGGCUGAGACACGACGUCGAGCUACUACGGUAGUGAAGUCAUUGAUGCCAUGCUUCCAGGAAAAGCCUCUAAGCUUCAGAUAGUCAGGAAUCGUACCCCAAACCGACACAGGUGGUCGGGUAGAGAAUACCAAGGCGCUUGAGAGAACUCGGGUGAAGGAACUAGGCAAAAUGGUACCGUAACUUCGGGAGAAGGUACGCUCUUGAUGGUGAAGUCCCUCGCGGAUGGAGCUGACGAGAGUCGCAGAUACCAGGUGGCUGCAACUGUUUAUUAAAAACACAGCACUGUGCAAAAUCGCAAGAUGACGUAUACGGUGUGACGCCUGCCCGGUGCCGGAAGGUUAAUUGAUGGGGUUAGCGCAAGCGAAGCUCUUGAUCGAAGCCCCGGUAAACGGCGGCCGUAACUAUAACGGUCCUAAGGUAGCGAAAUUCCUUGUCGGGUAAGUUCCGACCUGCACGAAUGGCGUAAUGAUGGCCACGCUGUCUCCACCCGAGACUCAGUGAAAUUGAAAUCGCUGUGAAGAUGCAGUGUACCCGCGGCUAGACGGAAAGACCCCGUGAACCUUUACUACAGCUUGGCACUGAACAUUGAACCUACAUGUGUAGGAUAGGUGGGAGGCUAUGAAGACGUGACGCCAGUUGCGUUGGAGCCGUCCUUGAAAUACCACCCUUGUAUGUUUGAUGUUCUAACUUAGACCCAUUAUCUGGGUUGAGGACAGUGCCUGGUGGGUAGUUUGACUGGGGCGGUCUCCUCCCAAAGAGUAACGGAGGAGCACGAAGGUGGGCUAAUCACGGUUGGACAUCGUGAGGUUAGUGCAAUGGCAUAAGCCCGCUUAACUGCGAGAAUGACGGUUCGAGCAGGUGCGAAAGCAGGUCAUAGUGAUCCGGUGGUUCUGUAUGGAAGGGCCAUCGCUCAACGGAUAAAAGGUACUCCGGGGAUAACAGGCUGAUACCGCCCAAGAGUUCAUAUCGACGGCGGUGUUUGGCACCUCGAUGUCGGCUCAUCACAUCCUGGGGCUGAAGUCGGUCCCAAGGGUAUGGCUGUUCGCCAUUUAAAGUGGUACGCGAGCUGGGUUUAGGAACGUCGUGAGACAGUUCGGUCCCUAUCUGCCGUGGGCGUUGGAAGAUUGAAGGGGGCUGCUCCUAGUACGAGAGGACCGGAGUGGACGAACCUCUGGUGUUCGGGUUGUGUCGCCAGACGCAUUGCCCGGUAGCUAAGUUCGGAAUUGAUAAGCGCUGAAAGCAUCUAAGCGCGAAGCGAGCCCUGAGAUGAGUCUUCCCUGACAGUUUAACUGUCCUAAAGGGUUGUUCGAGACUAGAACGUUGAUAGGCAGGGUGUGUAAGCGUUGUGAGGCGUUGAGCUAACCUGUACUAAUUGCCCGUGAGGCUUAACCAU
rnacentral:rRNA from 1 species